UAUUAAAGAGGAGUGUAGUGCUGUUGUAUAAGCCAAUAGUCUGUGAAGGCUUGAAUCUGCUGAGCCGGCAUUGUGUACGCGCAACGUGCGGCGGCUAAACAGACACCAGCGCACGUGCACACUCGCCUAGUUUGAAACUCCAAACACCACUCCGACAACGUAUGUUCACUUCAGGGACGCACUUUUCAUGCAGCCACAGCCAGUUGCGACGGUACGUGUUCCGCUCGACGGGCUGCUCCCGUUAGAUUCACCAGGCGGCGUGCUGUAGAUUCCACAGGGAGAACCAUCAUAUCCCCGCAACGUACACAGAAGAGUGCCCGGCAGAUUCACAUGCGAGCACACCCGCAACCCUGUAGAGCCCCUACGAUUCUAGAUUCUGGAUGGCGGAUGAGAAACAGCAGUCGCCGUGUCGGAGGUACAGGAGGAGCUGCAGGGGACACCGGGAGGAAGGCGGCUUAAAUGAGACACCUUGUUGAAAUGUCAGAAUGUGCCUGAUAUCACCCACAUGAGCCGCGAGCUACACCGCCAGUGUUCAAACAUUCAGAGGCACUCUUAGCUGCACAUGACCAGCAUGCACUGUAUAUAACUGAUACAUCUUUAAUGUAUAAUUCAUCCAUUUUAAAUUAUAUAUACGACUCUUAAUAAUUCCUGGCAGUAUCUUGUUUCAUGUAUCAUCCUUGUGCAUGUGUAACCACUGUAGUUCUUCCAUGCUCUUCGGGAUGGGAAUGCCACUGAGCCAUAUAAGGAAUUGAAUGUCCCUGUUGGGCAGCACCACAUCGACGAAGCAGCGACGAGCAGAUCAGCCCAGGAAAAUCCAUCAGCGCCAAGUUCCAUUAAUUACCUUGAGAGAGGAGUCUAAAUGAGUUGAUUGUUCCAGGAGUGAAUUAGCAGAAAAGCUAUUGACUUGUGCAGAUCGUGGACAUCGCUUCAGUAAUUACUACGCACGAGGUACAGGAGGGUUAAACCAACAGCUACAGUCAGGGUUUCAUCUUUAACACUCUGCGCUCUACCUGAAUCAUCUCCGCUGCUUACCUGCUGAGUAGGAUGAGAAAAUGGGACCCGCAGAGGGAGCGUAACUCACUUCUCAGCAAUAUUAAAGCAAUAUCAUACAUCAUCGCUCGUGUAAGCAUUCAGUGUCCCACUGUUUGGCAAAUAUUGAUAAAGUUGCAUCACUCAGAGGGAAAAGAAUGAAGCUCUUUGUCAAGCAGCGGAUGGAAUGAUUUUUACUCGCCGCCUUGUAGCGUGAUGAAUUGCUGGCCUAAAAAACAAAAGUGAACAAACAAAACAAAACAGCGAACUCGGCUGGAAUACCCAAAGGACAGUCAGUGGAGAAAGGAAAAGGGAGAUUGAUAUUCUAUCAACAGUGUUUGUUUGUUUUGCUGUAAAUCUAUUGAGAAUAUGCCCACACAUAUUAAUAGAAGGAAAAAAAAACUCUAUAUGAGCUAUUUCUUUUCAUGAAGACAUCUGUCAGCAGUAUCGCUCCCCAGAAAACCAUUCCCCCGUGUUUUAUUUAUGUGAAGAUCAAAUAUUUGUACUCAUUUUGUCCUUGCUUUGGUAUAUGUAAUAUUACUAUGAAUACGCCAGAGUGAUAACAUCAUAUACACCGCUGAAGUCUGUGAGGGAUGCAUCCCACACAGAGAUGCAACGCUGGCAGAGCUUCAGGGCUGGCAAGUUACUUUUCCCAAAUGUAAAUUUAUGUUUGGAUGUAUAGUUUUAAUGAAUGUCUCUAAAACUUGGAAACGCUCGUCUAGACUGUGUCAGUGCAUAAGCCAGAUUUAGCUCUUAUCAAGUGAAUUCUAAUUAACUUUUUUUAAAUGACUAUUUUGAAUAAAUACAGCUUUUUUAUA